GUGGGGAAUAUUGGACAAUGGGCGAAAGCCUGAUCCAGCCAUGCCGCGUGUGUGAAGAAGGUCUUCGGAUUGUAAAGCACUUUAAGUUGGGAGGAAGGGUAGUAACCUAAUACGUUGCUACUUUGACGUUACCGACAGAAUAAGCACCGGCUAACUUCGUGCCAGCAGCCGCGGUAAUACGAAGGGUGCAAGCGUUAAUCGGAAUUACUGGGCGUAAAGCGCGCGUAGGUGGUUCAGUAAGUUGGAAGUGAAAUCCCCGGGAUGAACCUGGGAACUGCUUUCAAAACUGCUGAGCUAGAGUACGGUAGAGGGUGGUGGAAUUUCCUGUGUAGCGGUGAAAUGCGUAGAUAUAGGAAGGAACACCAGUGGCGAAGGCGACCACCUGGACUGAUACUGACACUGAGGUGCGAAAGCGUGGGGAGCAAACAGGAUUAGAAACCCCGGUAGUCC
rnacentral:rRNA from 1 species